CACAUUUGAAGAGGAAAGAAAGACUUGAAAAAGAUAAAAUUACAUAUCUAAACCUGAUAGCUUUUUUUGAGUAGUCAUGUUAGUUAUAAAUAUAAAGUUUCCACUGUCUAUAGUAGUGGCAACAGAUCCAGUUUGCGAGUUUGUUUGGUUUCGUUUCCCCAUUGGGUUGGUGUUGCUGGAUCUUCGCCCUGUUGCAUCGCGUUGUGCAGUUUGGGUUUGCUCUCAGGUUGUCACGCUUUGCCUUGUGCUGGAUCUGUUGCUUUGUUUGGACGGUUCGACUCGUAAGA
rnacentral:lncRNA from 1 species